GAUGAACGCUGGCGGCGUGCCUAAUACACGCAAGUCGAGCGAAUGGAUUAAGAGCUUGCUCUUAUGAAGUUAGCGGCGGACGGGUGAGUAACACGUGGGUAACCUGCCCAUAAGACUGGGAUAACUCCGGGAAACCGGGGCUAAUACCGGAUAACAUUUUGAACCGCAUGGUUCGAAAUUGAAAGGCGGCUUCGGCUGUCACUUAUGGAUGGACCCGCGUCGCAUUAGCUAGUUGGUGAGGUAACGGCUCACCAAGGCAACGAUGCGUAGCCGACCUGAGAGGGUGAUCGGCCACACUGGGACUGAGACACGGCCCAGACUCCUACGGGAGGCAGCAGUAGGGAAUCUUCCGCAAUGGACGAAAGUCUGACGGAGCAACACCGCGUGAGUGAUGAAGGCUUUCGGGUCGUAAAACUCUGUUGUUAGGGAAGAACAAGUGCUAGUUGAAUAAGCUGGCACCCUGACGGUACCUAACCAGAAAGCCACGGCUAACUACGUGCCAGCCGCCGCUGUAA
rnacentral:rRNA from 1 species